rnacentral:rRNA from 1 species
AGAAUCAACGCUGGCGGCGUGCCUCAGACAUGCAAGUCGAACGCGAAAGUUUUCCUUCGGGGAGCGAGUAGAGUGGCGCACGGGUGAGUAACACGUAGGUAAUCUACCUUUGGAUGGGGAAUAACAACCGGAAACGGUUGCUAAUACCGCAUGAUGCAGCGGCACCUAAUGGUGACAGUUGUUAAAGCGGGGGAUCGAAAGACCUCGCGUCUGGAAGAGGGAGCCUGGCCGGACGGACUAGCGUAGGUUGGUAGGGUAACGGCCUACCGAAGGCCAACGAUCC